rnacentral:rRNA from 1 species
GGAAUAUUGGACAAUGGGUGCAAGCCUGAUCCAGCCAUGCCGCGUGCAGGAAGAAGGCCUUCUGGGUUGUAAACUGCUUUUUUCAGGGGAUAAAAUACUCGUGCGCGAGGAAUUGAAAGUACCUGGAGAAUAAGCCACGGCUAACUACGUGCCAGCAGCCGCGGUAAUACGUAGGUGGCGAGCGUUGUCCGGAUUUAUUGGGUUUAAAGGGUGCGUAGGCGGCUACUUAAGUCAGUGGUGAAAUACGGCAGCUUAACUGUCGAGGUGCCAUUGAUACUGGGUAGCUUGAGUACUGAUGAGGUAGGCGGAAUGGACGGUGUAGCGGUGAAAUGCUUAGAGAUCGUCCAGAACACCGAUAGCGAAGGCAGCUUACUAAGGAGUAACUGACGCUGAGGCACGAAAGUGUGGGGAUCAAACAGGAUUAGAUACCCUGGUAGUCCACACUGUAAACGAUGAUCACUCGAUGUUGGCGAUACACGGCCAGCGUCUUAGCAAAAGCGAUAAGUGAUCCACCUGGGGAGUACGCCGGCAACGGUGAAACUCAAAGGAAUUGACGG